AAUAAGUGCAGUUUUAGCACUGUUCAUGUCCAACGUUUGACCGUUCGUCUUAUUUGAAAAAAGAUUAUGAUUAGUAUUUUUAUUGUUAUUAGAUGAUAAAACAUGAAUAGUACUUUAUGUGUGACUAAUUUUUUUUAAUAUUUUUUAUAAAUUUUUCAAAUAAGACGGAUGGUCAAAACGCUGAGCACGCAUAUCCAUGGCUACACUUAUC
rfam:Oryza glumipatula chromosome 4, whole genome shotgun sequence.